UUAAUCCUCCCUCCGUCCCAAAAUUCUUGUCUUACAUUUGUCUAAAUAUAAAUGUAUCUAGUCACGUGUUAGUAUUUAGAUACAUUCAUUUCUAGACAAAUCUAAGACAAGAAUUUUGAGACGGAGGGAGUAGAUA
rfam:Hordeum vulgare subsp. vulgare, WGS project CAJW01000000 data, contig: morex_contig_275093